GUCUUCUUGAUAAAAUAGGAAGUCUGACCUGCCCAGUGAAAAUAUUUUAACGGCCGCGGUAUAUUGACCGUGCAAAGGUAGCAUAAUCAUUAGUCUUUUAAUAGAGGGCUGGAAUGAAGGGUUUAACGAAGUACUUACUGUCUCAUUUAAUUUGAUAUUAAAAUUUACUUUUUCAGUCAAAAAGCUGAAAUAUUAUUGGAAGACGAGAAGACCCUAUAGAGCUUUAUAUUUAAUUUUUUAAUAAAUUUUUGUUACAAUUAUUAUUUAUUAUUCAAUAAAAUAUUUUGUUGGGGUGACAAAAAUAUAUAAUCAACUUUUUUAUUUAUAAAACAUUGAUAUAUGAAAAAUAGAUCCAGUUUUACUGAUUAUUAGAAUAAGUUACCUUAGGGAUAACAGCGUAAUCUUCCUUUAGAGUUCAUAUUCACAGGGAGGCUUGCGACCUCGAUGUUGGAUUAAGAUUAUAAUUAGGUGUAGCCGCUUAAAAAAUAGGUCUGUUCGACCUUUAAAUUCUU
rnacentral:rRNA from 1 species